AGCUCUACAAUCUCCAUUGCCCUUUCUCGUUCUUCUCUUGGCCUUCUCUACCAGUUUUUUUCACUCAUCAUCUUCCUAUUUAAUUGUUCCCUUCAACGCGUCUUCCUCCAUAAUCUUAUCUAGAAAUCUACAGAAGAAUCCCUCUCAAUUUUUCCUGCACGCACAACAAAAAGAAAGUGGAGAAGAGGGCGAUGAAGGAGGAGAGCUCCUUCCAUCGGCAUUAGAGGGAGAUUUACAGUUGCAUGGGACAUUGGAAACCACAAGGCUUCGAUUGGAGUUCAAAGAUAAAUAGGCAUAUUGAGCCAGUCCUAAAAAUCAGAGGUGGCGUUGGAUGCCGAAGAGUGCCGCUGGAGUGGAGGAGACAACAUGUUC